UACGUCCAUAUCACGUUGAAACGCCGGUUCUCGUAGGAUCACCGAAGUUAAGCAACGUUGAGCCUGGUCAGUAAUUAGAUCGGUGACUAUUUGGGAAUACCAAGUGCUGUAA